rnacentral:rRNA from 1 species
CCUACGGGCGGCAGCAGUGGGGAAUAUUGGACAAUGGGGGGAACCCUGAUCCAGCCAUGCCGCGUGUGUGAAGAAGGCCCUCGGGUUGUAAAGCACUUUCAGUGAGGAAGAACGCCUGGUGGUUAAUACCCAUCAGGAAAGACAUCACUCACAGAAGAAGCACCGGCUAACUCCGUGCCAGCAGCCGCGGUAAUACGGAGGGUGCGAGCGUUAAUCGGAAUUACUGGGCGUAAAGCGCGCGUAGGUGGCUUGAUAAGCCGGUUGUGAAAGCCCCGGGCUCAACCUGGGAACGGCAUCCGGAACUGGCAAGCUAGAGUGCAGGAGAGGAGGGUAGAAUUCCCGGUGUAGCGGUGAAAUGCGUAGAGAUCGGGAGGAAUACCAGUGGCGAAGGCGGCCUUCUGGACUGACACUGACACUGAGGUGCGAAAGCGUGGGUAGCAAACAGGAUUAGAUACCCCAGUAGUC